GACGAGCCCGCGUCCCAUCAGCUAGUUGGUAAGGUAAAAGCUUACCAAGGCUAUGACGGGUAGCCGGCCUGAGAGGGUGGCCGGCCACACUGGAACUGGAACACGGUCCAGACUCCUACGGGAGGCAGCAGUGGGGAAUCUUGCGCAAUGGGGGAAACCCUGACGCAGCGACGCCGCGUGGAUGAUGAAGGCUUUCGGGUCGUAAAGUCCUGUCGCAGGGGAGGAAUUGGCGGUGCAAGCCGCAGUUGACCGUACCCUGUGAGAAAGCACCGGCUAACUCCGUGCCAGCAGCCGCGGUAAUACGGAGGGUGCAAGCGUUGUUCGGAAUCACUGGGCGUAAAGCGCAUGUAGGCGGGUCGGUGUGUCGGGUGUGAAAUACCGGGGCUCAACUCCGGGGCUGCGCUCGAAACUACCGAUCUUGAGUUCGGGAGAGGAACGUGGAAUUCCGGGUGUAGAGGUGAAAUUCGUAGAUAUCCGGAGGAACCCCAGAGGCGAAGGCGACGUUCUGGACCGAUACUGACGCUGAGAUGCGAAAGCGUGGGGAGCAAACAGAAUUAGAUACUCUGGUAGUCCACGCUGUCAA
rnacentral:rRNA from 1 species